rnacentral:lncRNA from 1 species
AUGUACAGACCAGUGACAAUUUCUCGGACAUCUUUUCCACUGUGGAUGAUUUUCCUCAUUGUGUUUGGAGUGGUGGCAAUCCUAGGAACCACUAUUGGUCUCCUAGUUCAUUUUCUGGCAGUAGAAAACAAGACCUACUAUUACCAAGGUAGCUUUAAAGUGCUGAAUAUCCCAUAUAAUAGAAAUUAUGAAAAGGAGACAUCACAAGAAAAUAACUAUCUUAGCAAAAUUCUUGAGACGAAGAUGUCUGACGCCUUUCAGAGUUCUAGCAUUUACAGACAAUACAUCAAUUCUCAAGUCAUCACACUGGUUCCUGCUGACAACAGCGUGACAGCACAUAUAUGGCUGGUAUUCAAGGCGCCCAAAUCAAUGAAGGAAAACACAAGAAGAGGAAUUGAAAGCAUCUUACGUCAAAUGCUGAGGAACCAGUCAGGAUCCUUGACUACAGAUCCUGAUUCGCUUACACUUAAGGAAAUCAGUAAGGUCGAAGCUGAAAAGAUAAUCAACAACCGCUGUGGGAGACGACCAAGGAUGUCUGCUACAUAUGAUAGAAUCAAGGGUGGAUCCACUGCUCAGGAAGGAGAGUGGCCCUGGCAAGCAAGUCUCAAAAAGAAUGGCCGGCACUACUGCGGGGCAUCUUUGAUCAGUGACAGAUACCUGGUGACUGCAGCUCACUGCUUUAAAAAUUCACAAGAUCCAAGGAACUAUACUGUGACCUUUGGCACCAGAGUAAAUCGCCCCUAUAUGCAACACUAUGUUCAGCAAAUUCUUAUUCAUGAAAACUACAUCAGGGGUGAACUUCAUGAUGAUAUUGCAGUUAUAUUGCUUACUGAAAAAGUUUUAUUUAAGAACGAUGUCCAUUCAGUUUGUCUUCCUGAAGCCACACAGAGUUUUCCACCAGGUGAAGGAGUUGUUGUCACAGGAUGGGGAGCACUUUCAUAUGAUGGUGAAUACCCAGUAUUACUUCAGAAAGCGCCUGUGAAGAUUAUUGAUACAAACACUUGUAAUGCUCAGGAAGCAUAUGAUGGGGUGAUACAAGACACAAUGCUAUGUGCUGGGUACAUGGAAGGAACUAUUGAUGCAUGCCAGGGUGACUCUGGAGGACCACUAGUUCAUCCCAACUCUCGAAAUAUUUGGUACCUUGUUGGAAUAGUGAGCUGGGGAGCAGAAUGUGGGACAAUCAAUAAACCAGGAGUCUAUACACGAGUGACUGCCUACCGCAACUGGAUUGCCUCAAAGACUGGUAUCUAAGAGGAAAGCAUCUUAUAGACCCUGUUUUAG